CCUACGGGUGGCAGCAGUGAGGAAUAUUGGUCAAUGGACGCAAGUCUGAACCAGCCAAGUAGCGUGCAGGAUGACGGCCCUCCGGGUUGUAAACUGCUUUUAGUUGGGAAUAAAAGGGGGCUCGUGAGCCCCGUAUUGUAUGUACCAUCAGAAAAAGGACCGGCUAAUUCCGUGCCAGCAGCCGCGGUAAUACGGAAGGUCCGGACGUUAUCCGGAUUUAUUGGGUUUAAAGGGAGCGUAGGUGGAUUGUUAAGUCAGUUGUGAAAGUUUGCGGCUCAACCGUAAAAUUGCAGUUGAAACUGGCAGUCUUGAGUACAGUAGAGGUGGGCGGAAUUCGUGGUGUAGCGGUGAAAUGCUUAGAUAUCACGAAGAACUCCGAUUGCGAAGGCAGCUCACUGGACUGCAACUGACGCUGAAGCACGAAAGCGUGGGUAUCGAACAGGAUUAGAUACCCUAGUAGUC
rnacentral:rRNA from 1 species